rnacentral:misc_RNA from 1 species
UGGAAAACGAGUGUAACUUUCCAUUAAUUUCUUAACUGGAGGGGCAAUGAAGUAAAUAAAUCGAAGAUCAGAAAUGUGUAAAACGACAGAAGCAAGGACAAUGAAACGCUCACAUGGCAAGCUUUGAACCACCUACCCAACCAUUUGAGGACUAAAUAGCUAAGCGUGGCUCACCUUCACCCUCUAUAUACCAAAAACAUACCAGAACCACAUAUUCACCAAACUCACACCACACACGCGGUGACUCCUUGUUCCUCUUGGCCAUUCUUGUCUCUCGCCAUGGCUGGGACUAGAGUUUUUGCAGAGAUUUUGGAUG